rnacentral:rRNA from 1 species
CAGUCGCCGCGGUAAUACAGAGGGUGCGAGCGUUAAUCGGAUUUACUGGGCGUAAAGCGUGCGUAGGCGGCCUUUUAAGUCGGAUGUGAAAUCCCUGAGCUUAACUUAGGAAUUGCAUUCGAUACUGGGAAGCUAGAGUAUGGGAGAGGAUGGUAGAAUUCCAGGUGUAGCGGUGAAAUGCGUAGAGAUCUGGAGGAAUACCGAUGGCGAAGGCAGCCAUCUGGCCUAAUACUGACGCUGAGGUACGAAAGCAUGGGGAGCAAACAGGAUUAGAUACCCCCGUAGUCCCUGUCUCUUAUAC